rnacentral:rRNA from 1 species
UACGUAGGGUGCAAGCGUUGUCCGGAAUUAUUGGGCGUAAAGAGCUCGUAGGCGGUUUGUCGCGUCUGCUGUGAAAACUCGGGGCUUAACUCCGGGCCUGCAGUGGGUACGGGCAGACUAGAGUGCGGUAGGGGAGACUGGAAUUCCUGGUGUAGCGGUGAAAUGCGCAGAUAUCAGGAGGAACACCGGUGGCGAAGGCAGCCCCCUGGGUCAAAACUGACGCUCAUGCACGAAAGCGUGGGGAGCAAACAGG